rnacentral:rRNA from 1 species
ACGCUCGACACCUACGGAGGCAGCAGUGAGGAAUAUUGGUCAAUGGACGCAAGUCUGAACCAGCCAUGCCGCGUGCAGGAUGACGGCUCUAUGAGUUGUAAACUGCUUUUGUACGAGGGUAAACGCAGAUACGUGUAUCUGUCUGAAAGUAUCGUACGAAUAAGGAUCGGCUAACUCCGUGCCUGCAGCCGCGGUAAUCUGAGCGGGCUGGCAAGGC